rnacentral:rRNA from 1 species
AUGGGGAUCAAAUAUGUACCUUCUAGGUAUAUAUUGCAGCGAUGGAGAAAGGAUUUUAAGCGCAAACACGUAUUUAUUAAAUGCUCCUACGAUGAUAUGUUGAAUACACCAGUUGUGCAGCAUUAUGAUGAAUUAUGCAAGCGUUCUCACGAAGUGGCAGAGAAAGGUGCAGAGUCCGAUGAAUUGCGUGACUUGGUGAUGGAUGGGCUUGAUCAGUUAGAAAGAAAGGUUGAUGCAUACCGUGCUAACCAUGCUUUUCAAGUACAGGCAGAAGAUCCAACAUCAAAGCAUGAAGAUAAAAUGUUAAAGAAAGAAAAACUUGUACUCAGUCCAAUCCCUGUUCGCAGUGCAGGCCGUCCUCGUUCAAAGAGAAAGCUAUCUAAAGUGGAUCAAUUGAUCCAAAAAUUGAGAGCAAAGAAGCGGCAGGUGCCAACAAGUACAACCAAAGUGCAGACUCAUAAGGGGAGAAAGCAGAAUUACGUCAUCAAAUCAAAAGGUGGGCAAGACGCUAAUCUCCAGAGUUCACAACAAACAGAGGGAAAUAUUCACUAUGAAGGGUAUGGGGCUAGAAGUUAUUGGUUCUUUCCAAAUGAGUUUCAGGGAAAGAAAAAUGCCAUGGAUCUGCUAGCUGCCAACCUGAAGGAAUGA